UUCUGAUUGCUUCAUAAUCAGUAAAGCCUGCUCAAUGAAUUUUAAAUAGCCGCGACUUACGUGCUAAGGUAGCAUAAUCAAUUGCCUUCUAAUUAAAGGCUGGAAUGAAAGGCUCAACAAAUAAAAUUCUUUAUUGAUAAUAUUUCUUUAAACUAAUUUAUAAAUAAAAAAGUUUAUAUAUAUAAGGAGGACGACAAGACCCUAUCGAGCUUUACUUUUUAGUUUCACUGGGGAGGUGAAAUAAUAAAAUCUUUUUAUAUUUCUAUAAAAAAAUAAUACAGAAAGAACUUUGAACUAGCUACCGUAGGGAUAACAGCACAAUUAAUUUUAGAAGAUCUUAUUUUAAAAUUAGAUUAUGACCUCGAUGUUGAAUUAAAGUACCUUUAGGAGAAAAAGCUUAAAAGGAAAGUCUGUUCGACUUUUAAAACUUU
rnacentral:rRNA from 1 species